CGACGUGAGCAAUCUGCCUUUAAGAGGGGGAUAACAGUCGGAAACGGCUGCUAAUACCGCAUAAAGCAUCAAAUUCGCAUGUUUUUGAUGCCAAAGGAGCAAUCCGCUUUUAGAUGAGCUCGCGUCUGAUUAGCUAGUUGGCGGGGUAACGGCCUACCAAGGCGACGAUCAGUAGCCGGACUGAGAGGUUGAACGGCCACAUUGGGACUGAGACACGGCCCAG
rnacentral:rRNA from 1 species